GACGAACGCUGGCGGCGUGCCUAAUACAUGCAAGUCGAGCGAGCAAUUUUAGCAGAAUACCUUCGGGUAGGAAGCUAAGAGCGCGAGCGGCGGAUGGGUGAGUAACACGUGGGCAACCUACCCUUUAGCUGGGGAUACCACUUGGAAACAGGUGCUAAUACCGAAUAAGAAGCAAGAGCGCAUGCUCAAGCUAUGAAAGGCGGCUCUAAGCUGUCAUUAAAGGAUGGGCCCGCGGUGCAUUAGCUAGUUGGUAAGGUAACGGCUUACCAAGGCGAUGAUGCAUAGCAGAGUUGAGAGACUGAACGGCCACAUUGGGACUGAGACACGGCCCAAACUCCUACGGGAGGCAGCAGUAGGGAAUCUUCCACAAUGGACGCAAGUCUGAUGGAGCAACGCCGCGUGAGUGAAGAAGGUUUUCGGAUCGUAAAGCUCUGUUGUUGGUGAAGAAGGAUAAGGAUAGUAACUGAUUCAUAUUUGACGGUAAUCAACCAGAAAGUCACGGCUAACUACGUGCCAGCCGCCGCAGUAA
rnacentral:rRNA from 1 species